AACUCCUGUCAGUCCUUCUAGCAUUGGCACUUCUAGUGGGUGUGUAGUUUGUGGUAGUUUUAAUUUGUUUCCUAACAGCUAAUGAUGUUAAGCACCCACGUAUGCUUAUUUUCCUUAAUUUUCUUUGGCUGCCACACAAGUCCUUUGGCUCAUGUGAAAAACAAAACCUUGGGAGUUCCCGUUGUGGCUCAGUGGUAACAAACCCCCCCUAAUAUCCAUGAGGUUGCUCCUUUGUCAAAGAUCAGUUGGCUGUAUUUUUGUGGGUCUGUUUCUGGGCUCGGUUCUGUUCCAUUGAUCUAUUUGUCUCUUUGGGGUUUUUGUUUGUUUUUGUUUUCUUUUGCAUUUGUUUUUGCCAACGCCGUACUGUCUUGGUUUCUGUAGCUUUAUAGUAAGUCUUAAAGUGUUCUUUUUCUUCAGCCUUGUGUUGGCUUUUCUGGGCCUUUUACCUUCUUACUUCAGCCUUCGAGCCAGUUUGUUUUUUGUUUUUUGUCUUUUUAGAGCCACACCUGUGACAUAUGGAAAUUCCCAGGCUAGGGGUCGAAUCAGAGCUGUAGCUGCCAGCCUACACCCCAGCCACAGCAACACAGAAUCUGAGCCGCAUCUGUGACCUACACCACAGCUUACAGCAGCACCGGAUCCUUCGCCCCCUGAGCAAGGCCAGGGAUCAAACCCGAAUCCAUCAUGGAUCCUAGUCGGGUUUGUUACCACUGAGCCAUGAUGGGGACUCCUCAGAUCUUUUUAUUUUAAAUUGGAGUGCAGUUGGUGUAUAAUAUUACAUAAGGUACAGGUGUACAAGAGUGAUUCCCGAAAGGUUAUACUCUGUAUUACUCUCUGCUCUGUGGUUAUCAUAAAGUAUUGGCCGUCCCUGUGUUGUAUGAGCUUACUAGGAUUUUGAUUGGGGUUGUGUUGAUUCUAGAUCAGGCAAGUUAGGAAGAGUUGGUCGUGGCCAUAGGAGUCUUCCUAGCCAUUGGGGAAUAUCUCUCUGCUUGUUUAGUGCUUUGGUUUGACUCAUUGGCUCUGGCAGUUGACCUGAGAUGUGUACUUUUUAUGUGUUACGUUAGAUGUAGACCUAAGUCAGUCAGUCUGUCUGUCUGUCUGUCUUUCUUGGUGUUAAUAGAGACAGUUCUCUGUGUGGAAUUUCAGAUUCCAAAUGUUUGUCAUUGGUAUAUAGGAAAGCAAUUUCAUUUUGCGUUUACCCUUUUACCAGUUUCUCCUCGCCCCCCCAAGCCCCUGGCAGCCACUUUCCACUCUCUUAAGUGUUUGGCUUUUUUCGAAGAGGCCGUGUGUAAGUGACGUCACACAGUAUCAGUCCUGCUCAGGCUCGUGUCACUUGGCUUAAGGCCCUCGAGGCCUAUCCAUGUUUUUACAAAGGGCAGAAUUGCCUUCUUUCUCAGGACAGAAUACUGUUUCCGUGUGUAUUUACACCACAUUUGUAUCUGUUCGUUUGUUGGUGGACACUUAGAUUGUUUCUGUGUUUGGGUUUUUGUGAAUAAGGCUGCAGUGACCAUAGAGGCGUAGGUAUCUUGUUGGUAUCUUCUUUUUCGUUGGCCAGCUGUCGAGAAGUGGGAUUGCUGGAUCAUAAAGUAAGUUCUAUUUUUAAUUUUUUGAGGAACCUUCAUAUUGUUUCCAUAGUAGUGAAAAAUUUUUUUCAUCUCAAAUUCCAGUUGUCCGUUGCUGGUGUAUGGAACAGCAGUUGACUUUUGUGUAUUGAUCUUAUAUCCUACGGGAGUGGUAUAAUCACUUCUUAGUUCCAGGGGUUUUUUUGUGAAUUCUUUGGGAUUUUUUUGCGGAGCUAAUCAUGUCAUCUGUGACCAAAGACAAUUUUAUUUCUUCCCACUCUGUAUAGCUUUUCUCUUCUUUUCCUGUUUUAUUGCAUCAGCUAGGGCUUCUAGUAUGAUGUCAAAAAGGAGCCGUGCGAGCUCCCAUCGUGGCUCAGCAGUGAGGAACCCAGCUAGUAUCCAUGAGGAUUCGAGUUCAGUCCCUGGCCUUGCUCAGUGGGCUAAGGAUCUGGCGUUGCCACUAGCUGUGGUGUAGGUCACAGACGUGGCUUGGAUGCCAUGUUGCCGUGGCUGUGGUAUAGGCCAGCAGCUGCAGCUUUGGCCCUUAGCCUGGAAUUUCCAUAUGCUGCAGGUGUGGCCCUAAAAAGCA
rnacentral:lncRNA from 1 species